AGAGUUUGAUCCUGGCUCAGGAUGAACGCUAGCUACAGGCUUAACACAUGCAAGUCGAGGGGAAACGGACAUCGAAAGCUUGCUUUUGAUGGGCGUCGACCGGCGCACGGGUGAGUAACGCGUAUCCAACCUGCCCACCACUUGGGGAUAACCUUGCGAAAGUAAGACUAAUACCCAAUGACGUCUCUAGAAGACAUCUGAAAGAGAUUAAAGAUUUAUCGGUGAUGGAUGGGGAUGCGUCUGAUUAGCUUGUUGGCGGGGUAACGGCCACCGAAGGCGACGAUCAGUAGGGGUUCUGAGGAGGAAGGUCCCCANAUUGGAACUGAGACACGGUCCAAACUCCGUACGGGAGGCA
rnacentral:rRNA from 1 species